ensembl:lncRNA novel transcript
CACAAUAGGUGGAGAUUCCUCCACAAUAGGUAGAGGUCACCAGCAUAGGUCAGAGGGGAUAUUGUAUGUAACUGGUGACAUUUGAAAGAGACAUAUUGGACAGAAAUGACAUACGUGAAAGCUAAGAUACAAUAUAUUUAAUUUUCUAAGAAUUCAGUUCAAGGUAGUCUGCCUGGUUUCUCAAGUUCUGCAUGUUUCUUCAGUAGACUAAAUAAUGAUAAGGAAGCUGAGAUGUAGAGCUGAAGUGUCUUGCCCAAGAUCAUUUGUCUAUAAUUUGUUUUUAUUGUAUUCCUAAGCCUAUGACCUGGCUCAACCCAGCUACAAGUUGUUAAUAAGAGGGAAGCAUAUCAGGAAAAUCUGAGUGCAAUGGUUUAGGAAUUGGGAAAGUAUAAAAGGUAUAGCACAACAGCACUAGACAACUGAGGUAGUCACCUACCUAAGGAGAGAUGCCAAGGACAAGUUGGCCAGCUAAACACUUUCUCCAGAAAUGGGAUUUAUAGUUUUGCUAAUUUCUUUAAUAUCAGAAGACAGCUGGAUUCUCAUUUCUGCUUCUGCAUUCAGUCUAUUGUGAUAUAGCAUAUCAUGUAACUUCUGAAAAACUUCACUGUACACAGAUGCUGACCUCACAGACUCCCUGAAAGGAUCUCCAUGACCUCUAUGGUUCCUUAGACUGCACUUUGAGAACUAUUGACGUACAGGGAAAAAUGCUCUUGGUGUUCCAGUUAAGCACAGAAUAAAAUCUGGACUGUGUCAGUUUGUAAAGAUCUUAUGUCUACUUGGUCAUCAGCCAAGAAGGGAUUCCGAAGAUAGAAGAGGAGGCAUCAACACCGUGAACAUCAUGGCUGAGUUAUUUUGUGAGAGGGAUAAGCCUAAAGUAAAAACCUUGGAUUUGCCUCUGUCCUUGAACAUGCUAUCUGGAAAGAGUUUUCUUAAAAGUAUUGUUGUGAACACAUCCAUUUUCCCAGUAUAGUUGAAUGCAGGGUUUAAUAAAUGGAAUGAAUCUAGUUUUA